ACAGCGUCCCGCCCUUGGGAGGGCAGGUAGACCGAGGGCACCUCCCAGCCCGCCCGGAGUCAGGUAGCCCUGCUUCCUCUGCUGAGCCCGGGGCAGGGACAUUCCUGUCCUUGAAGGAGGCAGUCGUCCCAGGCUCUCUCUCAGCAGGUCCUGCCAGCACCCCGAUUUUUAUUUGCAAAUAUUGGCGCCUCAAAUCAACUGCUUAAACAACUCCCCAAAAGACAGUCCCCCAUGUUCCUCGUUUGAGGGAAAAGUUUCUUGUCCUAGACUCUCAAAGUCUGGGAAAGAAGCUCAGCAGCACAGGCACGUCUGCUGGCAGACUCGUGCGUCAUGGAAACCUUGGAGGCUGGUGCCUGAGCCGCCUUUGCUGCAGAGUCAAGUCCCCGAACGCCUGAAAAACAACAUAAUGUAUUCCUGUCUGCAGCUCUGAGCAAAAGCUCAUUUCGUGUCUUGUGUUUCCAUUUCCUGAGGAUUAAUAAGUGUGGAGGGGGGACUCAGGCUUCGUGCCGAAUAUUUAUUUAGUCAGUAUACACAUCAAUUUAGCAAAUUAGAGAUUGCAAGCCAUUUCUAAGCAAUGCUGUAAAAACAAUAGCUGUACUUUAAACUUGUAAUGGAUUUUGGUGUGUGUGGGGUGGGGGGUGGGUGGCAGUUAACGUGCCUGGCACUUUGUAAGCACAUAGUUUAGUUCUUAAACUUCAGUGAAUGUCUGAGUCAUUGUGGGCAUUUGUUAAGGAAGCAGACAUUGAAACCCCAUCAUCAGGGCACACAGAAGGGGUUGGGGUGGGGAUACUGAAAUGCAUUUGGAGAAGACAAAGAUGGGCUUUGGGAAGAAUUCUUACAGAGAAAGCGUGAGCUCAUCCGCAGCCCUUUCUCCUUCCUGAUGGCUGGAAAUGGGGGACAUGAUGCCCGGAGCACCAGCAGCCACCUUGGACUGCGACGUAAGAGCUCUGUACUGAAGAUGGAGAGGAAACAAAGUAGCAGGGACCUGGGCUCUGCUGAUGCUGGUUUUCCCCUGCUGUCUCUGUUCCAUGCACCACACUGAAUCCUGACCAGCGGUCUAGGUUCUGGGGAGUGCCCAGGACAGAAGAGGGGGCAGAUGUUCAUUCUGUCUAACCUAUUCCCAGACCAAUGGGUUUCAUGGGGUCCUUAUGUGACAUUGCUGUUUCUCUUUC